GUGCCAGCCGCCGCGGUAAUACGUAGGGUGCGAGCGUUGUCCGGAAUUACUGGGCGUAAAGAGCUCGUAGGUGGUUUGUCGCGUUGUUCGUGAAAWCUCACGGCUUAACUGUGAGCGUGCGGGCGAUACGGGCAGACUGGAGUACUGCAGGGGAGACUGAAAUUCCUGGUGUAGCGGUGGAAUGCGCAGAUAUCAGGAGGAACACCGGUGGCGAAGGCGGGUCUCUGGGCAGUAACUGACGCUGAGGAGCGAAAGCGUGGGGAGCGAACAGGAUUAGAUACCCUGGUAGUCCACGCCGUAAACGGUGGGUACUAGGUGUGGGUUUCCUUCCUUGGGAUCCGUGCCGUAGUAACGCAUUAAGUMCCCCGCCUGGGGAGUACGGCCGCAAGGCUAAAACUUAAAGGAAUUGACGG
rnacentral:rRNA from 1 species